AGUGAACGCUGGCGGUAGGCCUAACACAUGCAAGUCGAACGGCAGCACAGUAAGAGCUUGCUCUUACGGGUGGCGAGUGGCGGACGGGUGAGGAAUACAUCGGAAUCUACUUUUUCGUGGGGGAUAACGUAGGGAAACUUACGCUAAUACCGCAUACGACCUACGGGUGAAAGCAGGGGAUCUUCGGACCUUGCGCGAUUGAAUGAGCCGAUGUCGGAUUAGCUAGUUGGCGGGGUAAAGGCCCACCAAGGCGACGAUCCGUAGCUAGUCUGAGAGGAUGAUCAGCCACACUGGAACUGAGACACGGUCCAGACUCCUACGGGAGGCAGCAGUGGGGAAUAUUGGACAAUGGGCGCAAGCCUGAUCCAGCCGUACCGCGUGGGUGAAGAAGGCCUUCGGGUUGUAAAGCCCUUUUGUUGGGAAAGAAAAGCAGCAGGUUAAUACCCCGCUGUUCUGACGGUACCCAAAGAAUAAGCACCGGCUAACUUCGUG
rnacentral:rRNA from 1 species